rnacentral:lncRNA from 1 species
UAAGAUCUUUUUGAGACCCUGGGUGACUCGCGUGGACUUAUCCCCUCUCGGUAAGCCGAAGACCAUAUCGUCCGCGUAGCGUGCAUAAUAGAAGACUACGGCCCCAUCCAGUUAGUUUGUACCCACAACGGUAAGGGCUUGUUCAGAAAAGAAGGGUCAAGGGUCACUUAUGGGAAUGAUAUACAGUGCAGCUAAUACUGUAAUUAAACAUGAAAGGAAAUAUAAUUCUAAUUAGUGGAAGGAACUUUGCAUAAAUUACUGCAACUGAAAAAUCUAAAUAAAUCUUACUUCAUCGCGUUCAGUAUAUGAUGUUUGCCUUAAUUUUUAUAUAAUAAUAUAAAAGUAACUACACCCAAGAGGAACACAACAUACACCUUCAGAUGAAAGAUGUGUUGUGGGCAUUCAUCCUAAACAAAGAAAACAAAUCACCAUAAGUCAAAUUGGUAGAAGCUUUCCAUAAGAUCGGACAACCAAUUAACUUUGUUCCCUACAGAUGAGAAAUCCAAAGGGGAAGACAUUGUAAAUUGUGCAACAAAUCACUGGAAAAAAGACCAAGCAAAAACUACCAUGCUGAAAAUUAUCUACUACCCAACACACAGACAUAAAACAAUUCCUUAUUAUGACAUGCAUUUGUUCAACUUCAGAAAACAAGCAAUAGAAGAAUUGUAACUCAGGUAGCAUGGGACGAUAAAAACAAUUUGCUAUGGAACUGUAAAUAAUUAUGGGAUACACAUGGAAAACCGCAAAGAUAAAAAUUCUAGGCUACACAUAUAAAAUUCCAACAGUAAAAUCUAGAUCAUUACAACAAAUUUCGAACUGUAACUCCAGCACAUCAAGACUGUAACUACGCACUAGCAAAUACUAAUUCUGGGAUGACAUGAGAAGAGUUCCACAGGUAAUCCAAGUCAAUUACAACAAAAUAUGAAUUGUAACUCCAGUGCAUCAUGGCUGUAACUACACAGUAACAAAAUAGUAAUUAUGGAGUAAAAUGAGAAGAGUUCCACCAGUAAUCCAAGUCAAUCACAAAGAAAAUAUGAGUUGUAACUCCAAUACCUAUACAUUAUAGAAGCUAUGGAAUAGCAAUACUAAUUCUCAUUUAGUUGGUGAUUGCGGGCAACAAGAACAAUACUCGGUUGUAGUUAGGACUAAAUCUUCAAAAAUGCAUACACAUAAAUUAAAAGGAAAUUUGAAUUCAUAGUUCAUAGUUCACACAGGAACAAAAAUAUACACAAAGUAAAGGUUGGAUAUCUUACAAUAUGUGCAGGUGGCUGGAGACGACGUCCCCAACAUAUUUGCAGUAAUAUCGGACACUGAAGUGACAGAAACAAAGAUACAUAGCAACUGCAUCAACAAUAUUGUAAAAUGGGGAACUACAAAAACAGUACAUGCACUACAACUGUUGUCUAUAAUAUUGUAAAGGAGGAACUAUGAAACAUUAUUUGCAAGAAUGAUACCUCCAUGAGCUCUAGUGCAUAGCUGUUUCAAAUAUAAUGGAAAAUACAUAAAGUUAUUACAAAAUACAUUCAGGUUACACACUCUUUCAUAUCAACAAUGAAGUGGGAUAACUAAUUACAAUUCCUUGAUUAUGGAAAAUUUGAAUCUCCAAAGCACUAGAGCAACAGAAAAAAGUGGCGGCUAUCCGGGACACAACUAAAAUAUGUGAGCGGAGAAAGAAAAUUACAGGGCAUACCGCAAACAAAUUACAUAGAAGUGUAAGAAUAAAUACAUCAAAAAACUAUCUAGCAUGAUGAAAAAUAUGAAACAAUGCAUCACAGAGUUAUGAACUAAGCUUCAGACUUGGAAACAUUGGCAUAUGAACCAUACAUAACUUACUAAACUAACAAAUACACAAGCAUAAAGAGACAACACCAUCACUGCAUUUGCAAGGUUACAUACAUGGA